AUUGAACGCUGGCGGCAUGCCUAACACAUGCAAGUCGAGCGGAGCGGCGGACGGGUGAGUAAUGUCUAGGAAUCUGCCCGGUAGUGGGGGAUAACGACCGGAAACGGGGGCUAAUACCGCAUACUAUCAGAUGAGCCUAGGUCGGAUGAGCUAGUUGGUGGGGUAAAGGCCGACCAAGGCGACGAUCCGUAACUGGUCUGAGAGGAUGAGCAGUCACACUGGAACUGAGACCCGGUCCAGACGCCUACGGGAGGCAGCAGUGGGGAAUAUUGGACAAUGGGCGAAAGCCUGAUCCAGCCAUGCCGCGUGUGCGAAGAAGGUCUUCGGACUGUAAAGCACUUGAAGUUGGGAGGCGUGACCAGCAGAAUAAGCACCGGCUAACUUCGUGCCAGCAGCCGCGGUAAUUC
rnacentral:rRNA from 1 species